GGCAUGGAAUUUCAGCAUCCUCGCCGUCCUCUAUCCAACGCCCGAGAUGGACACCCGCUGGGGUUUUAGUGAGGUAGGUCUUGGGCCCCCUGGUCGAACCAUUCGUGGCUCGACCAAGGGGAACAAGGAGUCCCACAUAACCCACACCCCUACCCGGGGGUGUGUGGUAGCAUGACCGUUUCCCCAGCGUCACAAAAAAAAAGGUGAUGACAGCAUCCGGAUGGAAGUGUCCCACAAAGAAUUCUCAGGAGUCUCUAAAGAAUCCCCAGGAACAUGAUACAGUCAGUAGGAAGCCAAUUGCCAACGCAGGUCUAGAAACAUCCGCAGAGCAUUUCUCCAACUUAAGGCGAUGUAUGCACAUUCAUCAAAGCACCAAAAUUUACACAUUUAUAAUUAUAACGUCAAUAUAUAUUUAUCCAUUGUUUAUAAUGGACAAAUCAUCAUCAUCUCAUCACAAUGCUACACAGUAAGGUCAUAACUGACCCUAAAUGACAAAAAACGUCUGAAAUAUGCAAGGAUAAAAUCAAUCAACACAUACGUUCCAUAUAUGUAUAUGUGUAAUUACUGAAGAUCAUCUUAUCAAGACUAAUCAGCAAAUUAUAGUGUACAAAAGGAUCAGAUUAGUAUAUCACAAUAUAAUUAGUUAAUAUUUCACUACAAUUCUGACACAAUAAUCUUUUA